rnacentral:rRNA from 1 species
UGUAAGCGUAUACCAAAGUUGUUGCAGUUAAAACGCUCGUAGUCGGAAUUUGGCAGUUCCGGAUGUGUGCACGUCGUGUGCGCACUUCGCGGGGAUUGCUUUUGUGGUCUUGCGUAGGAUGAGGCACUUUUAUUAGUGAACGUCCUCACGCAACCACUUUUUACUGUGAGAAAAUCAGAGUGCUCAAAGCAGGCAUUUGCCGUGAAUGUAUUAGCAUGGAAUAAUAGAAUAGGACUUGGUUCUAUUUUGUUGGUUUGUUGGGACUGAGUGAUGAUUAAGAGGGACAGUUGGGGGCAUUUGUAUUUCGGUGCUAGAGGUGAAAUUCUUAGAUUACCGAAAGACAAACUGCUGCGAAAGCGUCUGCCAAGGAUGUUUUCAUUGA